CGAGGAGGGGGCCGGGCUAACAGAAAGGGGGCGCGUAGAGGGGCGGGGCCACGCGAAAAGGGCGUCGCCACUUCCGGUGACGGUUUCCGCCAACUUCUGAGGGAAAAGUUGGGCGUUGUUAUCACCCGCGGCUUUGAGGCUCCUUGUUAUUCCCGGCCGCGAGGUGCUCCGUCGUAUUGCUUCCGCCCACCAUCACGACAGCCUUGUGAGGUAGGCCGGGCGGAGCUGGAAGCCGGAUCUCUGAUCGCUUCAGCUCCACAGGCUCGCCUCCUUUCUCCGCCCCGCCUUUCCUUCAAGAGCUCGAUGGUGCUUCGUCUUCCUGUUAUUUAUUCCCCAUAGCGACAAUCCUGCGAGGUGGGCUGGGCGGACCUGAGGCCCCCGCUGCGAAGUCAGGACAGGAGCUUGUUUUUCCCCCUUCUCAGGCAUCCCCUUCCUGCUGAGCCGCCCAAAGGUCACCUGGAAUGCAGGUUCUUUUAUUCCUUUUUGUUCAUCCAACCUCCUUUUUUGCUGAUUGUCUCCUACAUACCUGACAACGGGGAAAAAAAAGAAUAUACUAAAAACAAUAACAGAAGCAGGAAGUCUGGAACUCUCGUCUAGAAGACAAAAGAUGCUUGGACACCAUUUCAUCCUCCAUCUCAUUUUCUUUGGGUCCUGCGAGAGAUUAAAUCCCACGGGCGCAGAUUCAGCAGCUGAAAGGAAAAACGACCGAGGAAUCAAAUAUGCAUCUUUGGGAUAUAUAUUAUUUUUCCAAGAGACAGGUUUCGAAAAAGGGUGAAGGUGGUGAGACUUGGGAGAUAGAAAAUGUCCAGCGGAGGUUUACAGCUUCAGCCUGAUUAAAAGCCUGCACUUACCUUGCUGCAAAAUCCAGAGUCAUGAUGUCUUCAGAUCAAAGUGGGUUCUCCCCCCCCCUCUCAUAUUCUUCCACUGGGGGGGAGGGGCAGGAAACCAUCUUGGCAUCUGUUCUAGGCCAUAAUGAAGACAGAUGGUUUACCUGGCAUUCUCUCCUUCCUGCCUUCUGUCUACGGACAAGCAGAUCAUGAGCAAGGAGGGGGCAUGGAGGCAGGUCACUUACACACACCGAACACACAGAGACAGUUUGAUCUCCCCUGGGAGGGUGCCCUGAAGGGGACAGAAAUGGAGAAGAAAACAGGAGGCAGAAAAGCAGAAGCUUGUGCCAAAAAGAGACGUCAUUAUGAACGGUAGUGUAAGAUGGAGACCGCUUCUUUUUAAGUCACCUGCCUGCUGUUUAGCCAGGAAUCUGCUCUCUGUAUUUAGGAGCACCAAGGAGCCACUUUCAAGAGUGUGUGCACCUUUUAUUACAUUAGAAAGGAAAAUGUCCUUUCCCACUUAGGUUUUUCUCAGUGCAAGUCUAACAGCUUGAAAAGAAGGGGCCUCGUGAAGGUAAAAAUACAGAAAUAGCCAUUAAAGCAGACCAAAGGAUCUUUGGACAUUCGACUGGCCCCAGAGAGCGUAAAAGUAGCUCUCUCACAACUGGCUUUGAGAGGAUUAUUGCCUUCAGAGCUGGAACAUAUUCCUCAUCACUAGAAAUCAUUGGAGAAAAUACCGUUUUUUGGGGGGAGGGAAAUGAACCCUGGAGUGACCUUAAAUUUCAAACGUAGGAAACUUUCUUCUUUUCUCCCCCUUUGUUCCCAUUGUAAGUUAUUUUGGUGAGUCAAGCCUUGCCUCAUCAUAAUAACAGUAUAAUGGGUUGGAAGGGACCUUGAAAGUGUUCUCGUCCCACCCCCUGCUCAAGCAGGAGACCUUAUCAUUUCAGACAACAGGUUGUCCAAUCUCUUCUUAAAAAUCAUCAUUCACUUGAUGGGUUUCAGAUUUCCUGCCCACUGAAUUUUUUUUUUCCUGCCUGGACCUUGAGAGAAACCCCCUGAGACAGGAACACACAAUCCAGGGUUACUCCUUAAGUUUAGAUCCGGUCCUUCAUCUUCCCUGCCAGCCAUUCUUUCUGUGAGCCAAUGCAGAGGAUGGUGGAUAUUAUUUUGAAAAGCGUGAUUCCAUGCUCUGCGGGUUUGCUAUCAUUUUAAACUGGUGAAAAUAUUGGGAGUUUUGGCAGCGUGUUAUGGACACUGGCACCAAAUGGCUAUCUUGAGCUUCAUUUUUAUCUUCUCAAAAUUCUUUUGUGGAUCCAAGCAAUCUUAAAAUGAAGGUAAUGCUAGAGCAGUGGUUUUUUUUAAUAAAAAAAACAAGUUUUAAAUUUCUAAUUAAAAAAGUAAUAAGGGGAACGGAGGGUGUGGGGAGAGUCUGGUAGACACCAAGAAAGGAUUAACAAACUAAUUGAUGCCACUGGGCCCUUCCUAAGAAAAAAUCAGCUAUAAACUAAAAAGUAAAAUAUUUCAUUCCACAAAGAAUGAAAAUGGGUCUUAAUAAAAAGUCUGCUGAUUUGUUAAGGAUUCUAGAUUCUUUCUUUAAUCUCUUCCCUGAAUUUGGUCAGGUUUUUUUUUUAGUCUGGAGAAUCCUGUCUCAAAUUCAGCAAUAAUGAUGGACAAAGCUGGGAAUAAUAUAGCCAUUGUACACCAGCUGAUUAACCACAAUACUGUGGGUUUCUGGUAGGUUCUUUCACCACUGCCCCAAAUCUCAGAUUUACUCCUUAACAUCCCCAGAAAAACCGUGAAAGAGCUGCUUGUGAAACAAUCCAGAAUCACUGCAGCAAAUUAACUCAACCUUCCUUAUCCUGGUGUUGGAUUUUAGCUGCCGGAGUCUUCAGACAGUUAAUCC